GUCCGGAUGGCGCAGUGGUUACCGCACCUGGAUAGUAACCAGGAAAUCCCGGGUUCGAGUCCCGGUCUGGUACA